CACGACCCGGUGUCCCCACUCCCUAGUUCCUCAACAGCUCGUGAGUGUUGAGCGGCAGUUUGACGGUGAAUGGCGGGCGGCACCUGGCUUGGUGGUCGGCGGCAUGAUGCUCAGCGGGUUAGAUCGGCGAGAAUGGAUUCAGACGCGAAGCAUUUUGAUCAGGCGUGUGGCCUCGAUGUCGGGGCAGCGCAGCAGGUGGUGGUCGCGGCGGCGCUGCAAGUGGUGGUCGCGACCACACUGCUAGUGGUGGUCACGGCGGCGUUGGUUCGACCACGGUCGCCACGGACUGCAGAAGGACGAGCAUCCCGCGCCGCCACCGGUAUUUAAGUGUCCUCCGUAAUUCCCUUUGGAUCUCAUUCUGUGCUGCCUCAUUUCUUGCCCACGAGGUGUUUGUUUUAAUGCCUGAAUGGGAACUGCUACUGACAAUGUGCUCAAAGAAGACUCUUAACAGUGAUAUAUUGAUAGGAACACUCCAUUUUUUCCAUUGGUGGGUGGUCAUCGAUUCGCAGUAGGCCAACUAGUCGUGCAACAUCGCUAGUGGUCCUCAGUGUCAGGUUUCGUUGACCGUUGGCUUGCUUAUUCAUGUGCUUUGCAUCUCCUCCCUGCAAGAUGGUCAGUAACCAGGUCUUCGCCGAUAGAGCUCUCCAGUGUCGCCCCCUCCCCAUAUAUUUGUAGGAGUAUAUGUCUAUUUAUCCGCCCAAUAUGGUUAUAUUUAUUAAAGAAGUUUAGUUAUCUGCCCAUAAGUCUGAAUCUUUAUUGACUUGUGGCUUCUUUGCUAUGGUUGAUUUUUUGUUAUUACUAGCAUGUUCUAAUAUGGACUGUCGCCUUGUGUCCCCUUGAUAACUGAUUGAAACUCCCAUCUAAAAAUUAGCAUGUACGGUAUUAUUUGUUAUGUUCCUUCAAAAAAAAUGUUCAGUACAAAUUUCAUCAUGGAUGUAAAUUAUCUUGUCAAGCUUUGAAGCUCAUAAUCUUAGAGAUUUAUGUUUACCUCUUUAGGAGGAGAUAUCACAAGUUUAAGGUUCCAUUUGUUCUUUGACAAUUUUCUCAUUUUGACCAUAUUACAUAAUUCUACUAGUUUCUGUUCACUUUGGUUCACUACUUCAUUCAGAUUCACAUAUUACAGUCUGUAGAACCUUUAUUUUUCAGUCCCUUUUUAAUGUGAUGUUCUAAUCCAAAUUAAUGUUCUGCAGACAAAGGCUAAUCAGUACAGUGAUAAAGUUCUCUCCUAUAUCUUGUUCCAUGAUUUGAAUUAAUGCAAGCCUUUACCUGAUUCAUUGGAGAAAUUCAGGCCAUUAAAAUUACAUAGCUGCUCAUAUGUUAACAACCCAAAAUGCUCUCUCUUGUGCCUGGUCGUUGUAAUGUACUUGUGUAUGUCUGCUUGGACGCUUAUUUUUACUAUCAAAUGGAUGUAUAUUAGUAAUGAGAACGGCGUCA